UAGGGAAUCUUCGGCAAUGGACGGAAGUCUGACCGAGCAACGCCGCGUGAGUGAAGAAGGUUUUCGGAUCGUAAAGCUCUGUUGUUAGAGAAGAACGUUGGUAGGAGUGGAAAAUCUACCAAGUGACGGUAACUAACCAGAAAGGGACGGCUAACUACGUGCCAGCAGCCGCGGUAAUACGUAGGUCCCGAGCGUUGUCCGGAUUUAUUGGGCGUAAAGCGAGCGCAGGCGGUUCUUUAAGUCUGAAGUUAAAGGCAGUGGCUUAACCAUAGUACGCUUUGGAAACUGGAGGACUUGAGUGCAGAAGGGGAGAGUGAAAUUCCAUGUGUAGCGGUGAAAUGCGUAGAUAUAUGGAGGAACACCGGUGGCGAAAGCGGCUCUCUGGUCUGUAACUGACGCUGAGGCUCGAAAGCGUGGGGAGCAAACAGG
rnacentral:rRNA from 1 species